rnacentral:rRNA from 1 species
UUCCCUUGGACGGAAAGUCUGGACGGUAGCAACGCCGCGUGAGUGAUGAAGGCUUUCGGGUCGUAAACUCUGUUGUUAGGGAAGAACAAGUGCUAGUUGAAUAAGCUGGCACCUUGACGGUACCUAACCAGAAAGCCACGGCUAACUACGUGCCAGCAGCCGCGGUAAUACGUAGGUGGCAAGCGUUAUCCGGAAUUAUUGGGCGUAAAGCGCGCGCAGGUGGUUUCUUAAGUCUGAUGUGAAAGCCCACGGCUCAACCGUGGAGGGUCAUUGGAAACUGGGAGACUUGAGUGCAGAAGAGGAAAGUGGAAUUCCAUGUGUAGCGGUGAAAUGCGUAGAGAUAUGGAGGAACACCAGUGGCGAAGGCUACUUUCUGGUCUGUAACUGACACUGAGGCGCGAAAGCGUGGGGAGCAAACAGGAUUACAUACCCUGGUAGUCCACGCCGUAAACGAUGAGUGCUAAGUGUUAUAGGGUUUCCGCCCUUUAGUGCUGAAGUUAACGCAUUAAGCACUCCGCCUGGGGAGUACGGCCGCAAGGCUGAAACUCAAAGGAAUUGACGGGGGCCCCGCACAAGA